rnacentral:lncRNA from 1 species
CUUAUUUUUUUAUUUUUAUUUUUUUAUUUCAUACCUUUUUUAAAACAGUUCACAGCAACAGGGUACUUUAAAUGAAAAUAAUAAUCUUACAAGCGAGCGAAAAAUUUGUUACUUAAAAAUUGACUACCGUGAUAUGUCCUCCGAAUAUGACCUCAAUGACAUUAUAAAAAAAAUAAGAAACACGUACAGUGUCGAUGACGACAAAAAGGAUCUUGAUAUAAAAGAAGACAAUAUGAAUAAUAUGAAAAAAGGCGUGCUUUAUAUGGCUUAUUAUGAAGAUAAUACCUUUUUUUGUUAAUAAAUUAGAAAAAAAAAUAAGUAAAUAUAUGUCAAAGUUGUAUACUUAUAUGGAAAAACUUUUGGACGUGAAAAAAAAAGAAACAAUCAAACUAAUUUCAAAUGAUAUGAAAUUACAUAGAAAGUAUUAUGAAUGUAAAAACGAAUGAAUGACAAAAAGAGGAUAAGCUGUGAUCUAUGCAUUAAAAAAAAAAAAAAAAUAAAAAAAAAAAAAAAAAAAUAGUACGUAUAUAG